CAAGGCUUUAAGACCAUGUUUGGUGAAGGGACCAAAGUAACUGUUGAAUCACGUAAACCAUCUUCUCCCCAUUACUACAAGCUGAAGGACAAGGACAAUGUGGUCAGUGCUUGCCUUGCUACGGAUUUCAGCGCGUACAAUGCCACAGAUGCAGUAGAUCUGUUCAACAGAACCAACACCAAUCCCACUAGGAUUGAUAAGGACCCCUUCGACAAGGUGGUCAUUUUGACCAAAGACAUCAACGAGUGCCCUGCAGAUGAUGAGACUGAAACUGACGUGUGUGAUUCUGGAGCAGGUGGAAUUAUUGAAACCGAUGAAAAAAUCAACUUCCUAUCUCUGACAAUCCUGGGGCUAAGAAUCCUAUUUCUGAAAAGCAUCGUCUUUAACGUCCUGAUGACUCUUCGAGCAUGGAUGAGUUAGGAAAAGAGUAUGGAACGACUGACUUUCGUUGUGGAUGGAAUAGCGAGAAAGAUGCGUCAUCGCAAGAAAAUGGAUCAAAUGCAACAAGCUGAAAUUUGCUUUAGCUAUGCAUUGUGCCUUUUGUAUAGAAUGUUGCCUUACGACAUAUUUGACGAAUGUUUUUUCUUUUAACAUACUGAUUUUGCUAGUACAUAAAUGGGUAAAGAAGUGUACACCAAGAUUAUAUUCAUAUUUGUAGUUAAACAGAAAAAAAGAUAGUGCUUUUAAAUAUUCUUAUAUUCUAUAUAUUUUAAUUAUUGUUACAUUUAGUUCCUGUCAAUACUUUACUCAAUCAAUCAAUUUUUCUUUCUCUGUAAUGAUUUCUAUCAUUUUUAUCUUGUGCAAAUGAGCUAUCUUCUCUGGAAUUUUUAUGUAUUAUGUGAAAAGGUGUUUCAAUGAAAUCUACUCACUCUCUGUAAUCAAUAGUGAUGUUAAAUGGGCACACAAAUAUUGUAAAAGCUUAAUAAAUACACUUGCAGUUUA